rnacentral:rRNA from 1 species
UACGUAGGGGGCGAGCGUUGUCCGGAUUCAUUGGGCGUAAAGCGCUUUAAGGCGGUUCGCUAAGUCGCGUGUGAAAACUCCAGGCUCAACCUGGAGACGCCACGCGAUACUGGCGUGACUAGAGUUCGGUAGGGGAUCACGGAAUUCCUGGUGUAGCGGUGAAAUGCGCAGAUAUCAGGAGGAACACCGGUGGCGAAGGCGGCAUCCUGGACCGGCAUUGACGCUGAGGCGCGAAGGUCAGGGGAGCAAACAGG